rnacentral:rRNA from 1 species
CAGCAGCCGCGGGAAUACGUAGGUGGCAAGCGUUGUCCGGAAUUACUGGGCGUAAAGGGCGUGUAGGCGGCUUUUUAAGUCAGACGUGAAAUCUCUGGGCUUAACCCAGAAACUGCGUUUGAAACUGGAGAACUUGAGGACCGGAGAGGGCAGUGGAAUUCCCAGUGUAGCGGUGAAAUGCGUAGAUAUUGGGAGGAACACCAGUGGCGAAGGCGACUGCCUGGACGGCACCUGACGCUGAGGCGCGAAAGCUAGGGGAGCAAACGGGAUUAGAUACCCCAGUAGUCCCUGUCUCUUAUAC